rnacentral:rRNA from 1 species
GAUGAACGCUGACAGCAUGCUUAACACAUGCAAGUCGACUUGAAUUUGGGUUUUUUACUUGGGUUCGGGUGGCGGACGGGUGAGUAACGCGUAAAGAACUUGCCUCCUAGCUAUGGACAACAUUUGGAAACGAAUGCUAAUACCUAAUAUUAUGAUAAUAGCGCAUCCUAUAUUUAUGGAAGCUAUAGGCGCUGUGAGAGAGCUUCGCGUCUCAUAAGCUAGUUGGGGAGGUAGUGGCUAACCAAGGCUUUGAUGGGUAGCCGGCCUGAGAGGGUGACCGGCCCCAAGGGAAUGAGGUCACGGCCAUUAUUCUACCGGGAGGAAGAAGGGGGGAAAAUGGGAAAUGGGACGAAGAGUGUGGUCGAGCAAUUCUGUGUGGGCGAUGAAGUUUUUCGGAAUGUAAAGUGCUUGCAGUUGGGAAGAAGGGAAUGACGGUACCGACAGAAGAAGUGACGGCUAACUACGUG